GUGAGUCAUCGAAUCUUUGAACGCAUAUUGCGCCUGAGGCUUCGGCCGAGGGCAUGUCUGCCUCAGCGUCGGCAUAACCCCAUCACCCACAAUACUUGUGAGUGGACUUGGCAGUCCCAGUCUGGGUCUGCCGAAUUGCAGCAGUUGCUAUCAGGACCCGCCUUUGGCGUGGCCAUUCAGUUUGGUAGGUAACCCCUGGUUGCAUGCCACUGUUGGCCAUUGUGGCCUGUUGUAGUACACUGGCAGGAAACCAAGGGCCUCGAGCCCUUUCUCAUUUCGACCUGAGGUCAGGCAAGAUUA
rnacentral:misc_RNA from 1 species